UUUUUUCUGGCGUAGACAUUGUCGCGUUAAACGUCCAAAAUCAGCAGCUUUUUGCUUGUGGGAGACGGUGCGCUAGAGCUUUUUGUAGAGUGUUCUUUUCGCCUAUCUUAUCCGCUAGAUAGAGAAGUAAUCAAUCUUCUCUGCUGAAGGUCAUUUGAACCAACAUGUACCAUUUCCAAAUGACAGGGCGAUUUCACAUCAUUCAUUUAGUUGAGUAAAUGCCUGUAAUGCGGUGCAGCUCAUCAAAAUUAUCACACAAUCACAAACCAUACUUCUUUUUCAAGGAA
rnacentral:lncRNA from 1 species